rnacentral:rRNA from 1 species
GACGAACGCUGGCGGCGUGCUUAACACAUGCAAGUCGAACGGAAAGGCCCUGCUUUUGUGGGGUGCUCGAGUGGCGAACGGGUGAGUAACACGUGUGUAACCCGCCCUUGACUUUGGGAUAACUUUAGGAAACUGGGGCUAAUACCGGAUAGGAGCUCUUGCUGCAUGGUGGGGGUUGGAAAGUUUCGGCGGUUGGGGAUGGACUCGCGGCUUAUCAGCUUGUUGGUGGGGUAGUGGCUUACCAAGGCUUUGACGGGUAGCCGGCCUGGGAGGGUAACCGGCGACAUUAGGCCUGCGAUACGCCCCAGUAGCCAACGGGAGGCAGCAGUGGAGAAUAUUGCAGAGCGACCGGGAGCGAGAGAUGAAAACGUCGCGUUCGGGAUGCCGGCCUACGGGUUGUGAACAGAUUUCGCCUGAGCCGAAGCGUGAGUGACGGUACUGGGUAAAGAAGCACCGGCUAACUACGUG